GUAAGGUCACUAAGGUUGCACCCAUUCAGUUCCAACUGAAAAGUUACCAGAGGCACUGGUUUAAGUUCAGCCACAGCUGAACUUAAAAAUUGGAGUAGCACAGCUGAAGGGAGACAAGAGUGGAGCAGUCCUGGAGGGGCCUGUGUUACAGCCUGUUUAUGUCACUUGAUGUAGUCACCUGUGUUUGGGAGCAGUGUGGAGCUACUGCAUCCAACAAAGAGCAUCAAGAAACAUCAUGACCCUACACACAAUCCACUGCAGGACCAAGCCACCAAUUCUGCACAGCCACCAGUGCUGUCUGGGAUUCAGGAAAACUGAGAAAUCUGAAAAGGCUGAAACUGUUGCCCUGAGGGAGAGGAAAAUGCCCCAGAAGACCAGGAACCCUUCCAUCUAUGCUAAGAGAAUACUUAUUAAAUUAAACAUCUCAUGCCUGCGUAGCAGCAGCUUGUAUCUCU